rnacentral:rRNA from 1 species
ACGGGAGGCAGCAGCUAAGAAUAUUCCGCAAUGGACGAAAGUCUGACGGAGCGACGCCGCGUGGAUGAUGAAGGUCGGAAGAUUGUAAAAUCCUUUUAUAACUGAGGAAUAAGUAUGGUGAGAGAAACGCCAUAUGGUGACUGUAGGUUAUGAAUAAGCAACGGCUAAUUACGUGCCAGCAGCCGCGGUAACACGUAAGUUGCGAGCGUUGUUCGGAAUUAUUGGGCGUAAAGGGCAUGUAGGCGGUUUUGCAAGCUUGGUGUGAAAUCUCGGAGCUCAACUCCGAAAUUGCGUUGAGAACUGCAUGACUGGAGUCACUGAGGGGCAAUCAGAAUUCCUGGUGUAGGGGUGAAAUCUGUAGAUAUCAGGAAGAAUACCAAUGGCGAAGGCAGGUUACCAGCAGAUGACUGACGCUGAGGUGCGAAGGUGCGGGGAGCAAACAGGAUUAGAUACCCUGGUA